AAAUUUCUCCCUUCCACUUUUUUUCAAAUUACAUGAAUGUAACAGUAAAUAUCUCUUUCGGUUUAGAAAAACGGCAAAAAAAAAAAAAAAAAAAAAAAGCUAAACCUAAAACCAUCCUUAUUUCCGUCUCUCUUCCAAAAGUGUUUCUACAAAAACCUAAACCUAAGUCUCCUUUCGUCUGUCGCUCUCCCUCUUUCGGUUCUCCUUCUCCAGAAUCCGGAUGCAUGUAAAAUUGAUGUCUUCCAUUUUUGAUGAUACAUGAAUUUUGGGUUUGAUUUUACUGGACUGUUGAAUUCUCCUUGAACUUCUUCUCAUAAGUUUCCUUAUUGUGAUACAACAAACUCAUCGUCUAAAAAUAUUUUUUUCAGGUAAUACCAGGCUUGGUUGCAGAAGCAUUAAUGGUUGCAGAAGCCAGAAGCAUGAUGUUUCUUUUCUUUUCUUUUGCAGGUACGAGUUUUGAUCUGUUAGUUUCGUUACAGGUUUCACCCACAAUAGGAGAAAUCGAAGCCAUGAAAUUGUGAUCUGCUAUUCAAUCCCGUUAAUCCAGUUACCAAAAAAUAGGGUUCUUUUCUCUAUCAAUUGUUCAUGCGUUAAGGGGGAAAAAAAUAGGGUUCUUCUCUCUACGGUCGCCCUCUAUUCACUUCCAUCCUUUUUUUUCAAUUUCUUUUGCACAUUCAGAUUUUCUUUGCUAACCUAUCUGUGACGUAUGAUCAUUCAAUAGUGUUUUUUUGGUUAAUUUGGUUGUAAUAUGAUUAUUUGAUUGGUUGAAUGAUCCAUCUUUCCAUUUGUA